rnacentral:lncRNA from 1 species
UUUGGACGUAAAGAGGUUCAUUUCAUAUAACAACAGUCAUUACAAAUAGAGCAAACAUUGGCAUUUAGCCUAAGACAAUGGUUCCCAAUAACCAAGAUACCCAACAUAAGCGAUCAACCCUUUUAAAAGGAUAAAAAGAGGAGGAAUCAUCACCAAUCAUUUAUGCUUCAGCCAUUAUCGAAAAAUAUUAGUAUGUAUGAUCUUUGUUAUUGAACGACCUCCGUUUUCACUAAAGACCUUGCUUACAAGGAGAAAAAUAGUGAAGCACGAGACAGAGUCAAGCAUCCUCAAUUGCCAAUUGGGAGACAUAGUAAGAGAGCGGAGGCUGAGAGCCAUCCCAAACCGAUCAGAAUCAACCAUCGAUAACAUUUAACCUUGAUUAGCAACCAAACAGUGGCUUAAGCGGUAAAGAUCUUGGAUCUAGAGAAAAACAAAACAACAAAGCAAUAUAUGAAGGCUUUUGGCACCGUCAUCCAUCCACCAUCCGAAAGUCACAACAAAAAACUCUCACUUAAAGUGGAGGACAUCACCAACACCGAAACACUGCACUGAUCCCUCCUUAACAAAGGCCCCCUCAAAAAAAGAGAAACGAGCCACAAAAGCUCAAACAAGGCCCCCAAAAGAGGUUAUUAAACUGAGAGGAAGCAUAAAAAAGACAUAAGGAAAAAGUGAGGGACAACCAACCACUGGUGGCACGUGGUUGACAAUCUAAAGCAAGCAUAGGUGGAAAGAGCCGGAGCGGCACUUACGGUUUCAAAGAAAACAAAGAGUUUUAAGUUCUAUGUUAGUAGUACCUCAUUGAACUAUCUUUUUUUUCUUGGCAAGUCCUGUAAUUCUUCUUCUUUAUUUUAUUUAUUUUUUUGGUAGAAAAGACACAAGUUCAAGGAUCUAGUUAUAAUAAGGUUGAUGGGAGCCUAUAUUAACUAUUGCUUGAUG